rnacentral:rRNA from 1 species
CCUACGGGAGGCAGCAGUGAGGAAUAUUGGUCAAUGGCCGAAAGGCUGAACCAGCCAAGUCGCGUGAGGGAAGACGGCCCUACGGGUUGUAAACCUCUUUUGUCGGGGAGGAAAAAGUGUUACGUGUGACUCAUUGCGAGUACCCGAAGAAAAAGCAUCGGCUAACUCCGUGCCAGCAGCCGCGGUAAUACGGAGGAUGCGAGCGUUAUCCGGAUUUAUUGGGUUUAAAGGGUGCGUAGGCGGAGGUGUAAGUCAGUGGUAAAAUGGCGGGGCUCAACCUUGUAGUGCCAUUAAUACUGUAAGCCGCGAGUGCAGGAGAGGUAGGCGGAAUAAGUGAAGUAGCGGUGAAAUGCUUAGAUAUCACUUAGAACUCCGAUAGCGAAGGCAGCUUACCAGCCCGCGACUGACGCUGAUGCACGAGAGCGUGGGUAGCGAACAGGAUUAGAUACCCGGGUAGUC